rnacentral:rRNA from 1 species
UACGUAGGGUGCAAGCGUUGUCCGGAAUUAUUGGGCGUAAAAGAGCUCGUAGGCGGUCUGUCGCGUCGGCUGUGAAAACCCGGGGCUCAACCCCGGGCCUGCAGUCGAUACGGGCAGACUAGAGUGCGGUAGGGGAGACUGGAAUUCCUGGUGUAGCGGUGAAAUGCGCAGAUAUCAGGAGGAACACCGGUGGCGAAGGCGGGUCUCUGGGCCGUAACUGACGCUGAGGAGCGAAAGCGUGGGGAGCGAACAGG